UGAAUACGAGAUGCUACGGCGUCGAAGCAGUGUAUGUCAGACUUCCAAGAAAAGCUCGCAAUGUCAUAAAUAAAGAAUGCCUGUACCAUAACCGACACAGGUGGGUAGGUAGAGUAUACUAAGGGGCGCGAGAUAACUCUCUCUAAGGAACUCGGCAAAAUAACUCCGUAACUUCGGGAGAAGGAGUGCCUUCUUUAAGAAGGUUGCAAUAACAAGAUCCAAGCAACUGUUUAUCAAAAACACAGGUCUCCGCUAAGUCGUAAGACGAUGUAUGGGGGCUGACGCCUGCCCAGUGCCAGAAGGUCAAAGAAGUUGGUUAGCUUUUGCGAAGCUGAUGACUGAAGCCCUGGUGAACGGCGGCCGUAACAAUAACGGUCCUAAGGUAGCGAAAUUCCUUGUCGGGUAAGUUCCGACCCGCACGAAAGGCGUAAUGAUUUGGGUACUGUCUCGGAGAGGGACUCGGUGAAAUAGACUUGUCUGUGAAGAUGCGGACUACCUGCACCAGGACAGAAAGACCCUAUGAAGCUUUACUGUAACUUGAAAUUGAAAUUGGACUUUAUUUGCGCAGUAUAGGUGGAAGGCGUUGAAAGUAAUCUUGCGGGAUUAGUGGAGCCAUCAGUGAGAUACCACUCCUAUAAUGUUAGAUUUCUAACUUUGGAUCAUGAUCUGGUCAAAGAACAGUUUCAGGCGGGCAGUUUGACUGGGGCGGUCGCCUCCCAAAUGGUAACGGAGGCGUACAAAGGUUUCCUCUGAACGGGUAGAAAUCGUAUCUAGAGUGUAAAGGCAUAAGGAAGCUUGACUGUGAGACCUACAAGUCGAGCAGGGACGAAAGUCGGUCUUAGUGAUCUGACGGUGCUGAGUGGAAAGGCCGUCACUCAACGGAUAAAAGUUACUCUAAGGAUAACAGGCUGAUCUCCCCCAAGAGUUCACAUCGACGGGGAGGUUUGGCACCUCGAUGUCGGCUCAUCGCAUCCUGGGGCGGUAGUACGUCCCAAGGGUUGGGCUGUUCGCCCAUGAAAGCGGUACGCGAGCUGGGUUCAGAACGUCGUGAGACAGUUCGGUCCAUAUCCGGUGUAGGCGUUAGAAUAUUGAGAGGAGCCUUCUUUAGUACGAGAGGACCGAGAAGGACAUACCUCUGGUGUACCAGUUAUCGUGCCAACGGUAAACGCUGGGUAGCUAUGUAUGGAGAGGAUAACCGCUGAAAGCAUCUAAGUGGGAAGCCCACCUCAAGAUGAGUAUUCUCAUC
rnacentral:rRNA from 1 species